AUUGAACGCUAGCGGGAUGCCUUACACAUGCAAGUCGAACGGAGUGGCGAACGGGUGAGUAAUGUAUCGGAACGUGCCCAGUCGCGGGGGAUAACUAGGCGAAAGCGUCGCUAAUACCGCAUAAUAUUGGGACGGCCGUUUUCGGAUUAGCUUGUUGGUGGGGUAACGGCUCACCAAGGCGACGGGCCGUAGGUGGUUUGAGGGGAAGACCAGCCACACUGGGACUGAGACACGGCCCAGACUCCUACGGGAGGCAGCAGUGGGGAAUUUUGGACAAUGGGGGAAACCCUGAUCCAGCCAGCCCGCGGGUGCGAUGAAGGCCUUCGGGUUGUAAAGCACUUUUGGCAGGAAAGCGGUACCUGCAGAAUAAGCACCGGCUAACUACGUGCCAGCAGCCGCGGUAAUUC
rnacentral:rRNA from 1 species